AACGCUUUGGCGUUCGCGGCCUAAGGCCGUGCGUCGGACUCAAGCGCCUACUGCUUGAACCCCCGGCGUCAUUGAAGUAGGGCACGGGCCUCGCCUAAGCUUUGCAGCGGGGCCGGCAUGAUGAAGCUACCGGAGAGGGCAUCCUGCCUAUGGGAGGCCAUCGAAGGGAAUUUUAGAACAUAGGCUGCGCUCGGAGAUGCCUGGGCUUUCGGGUUUUCGGACGGGGGUUCGAUUCCCCCCGCCUCCACCA
rnacentral:tmRNA from 1 species